rnacentral:rRNA from 1 species
CCUACGGGUGGCAGCAGUGGGGGAUAUUGCACAAUGGGGGAAACCCUGAUGCAGCGACGCCGCGUGAGGGAAGACGGUCCUCUGGAUUGUAAACCACUGUCCCCAGGGACGAAGAUGACGGAACCUGGGGAGGAAGCUCCGGCUAACUACGUGCCAGCAGCCGCGGUAAUACGGAGGGAGCAAGGGUUGUCCGGAAUUACUGGGUGUAAAGGGAGCGUAGGGGGGAUGGAAAGUUGGGUGUUAAAUCUACGGGCUCAACUGGUAGUCACACUCAAAACUGCUAUUCUUGAGUGAAGUAGAGGCAGGCGGAAUUCCUAGUGUAGCGGUGAAAUGCGUAGAUAUUAGGAAGAACACCAGUGGCGAAGGCGGCCUGCUGGGCUUUUACUGACGCUGAGGCUCGAAAGUGUGGGGAGCAAACAGGAUUAGAUACCCCAGUAGUC